rnacentral:rRNA from 1 species
AUUGAACGCUGGCGGAAUGCUUUACACAUGCAAGUCGAACGGUAGAGGGGGCAACCCCUCGAGAGUGGCGAACGGGUGAGUAAUAUAUCGGAACGUGCCCAGUCGUGGGGGAUAACGUAGCGAAAGUUACGCUAAUACCGCAUACGAUCUAAGGAUGAAAGCGGGGGAUCGCAAGACCUCGCGCGAUUGGAGCGGCCGAUAUCAGAUUAGGUAGUUGGUGGGGUAAAGGCUCACCAAGCCAACGAUCUGUAGCUGGUCUGAGAGGACGACCAACCACACUGGAACUGAGACACGGUCCAGACUCCUACGGGAGGCAGCAGUGGGGAAUUUUGGACAAUGGACGCAAGUCUGAUCCAGCCAUUCCGCGUGCAGGAUGAAGGCCCUCGGGUUGUAAACUGCUUUUGUACGGAACGAAAAGGUCUCUCUUAAUACGGGGGGCUCAUGACGGUACCGUAAGAAUAAGCACCGGCUAACUACGUGCCAGCCGCCGCGGUAACAC